rnacentral:rRNA from 1 species
GAUGAACGCUGGCGGCGUGCCUAAUACAUGCAAGUCGAGCGAACAGAUAAGGAGCUUGCUCCUUUGACGUUAGCGGCGGACGGGUGAGUAACACGUGGGUAACCUACCUAUAAGACUGGAAUAACUCCGGGAAACCGGGGCUAAUGCCGGAUAACAUUUAGAACCGCAUGGUUCUAAAGUGAAAGAUGGUUUUGCUAUCACUUAUAGAUGGACCCGCGCCGUAUUAGCUAGUUGGUAAGGUAACGGCUUACCAAGGCAACGAUACGUAGCCGACCUGAGAGGGUGAUCGGCCACACUGGAACUGAGACACGGUCCAGACUCCUACGGGAGGCAGCAGUAGGGAAUCUUCCGCAAAGGGCGAAAGCCUGACGGAGCAACGCCGCGUGAGUGAUCAAGGUCUUCGGAUCGUAAAACUCUGUUAUUAGGGAAGAACAAAUGUGUAAGUAACUGUGCACGUCUUGACGGUACCUAAUCAGAAAGCCACGGCUAACUACGUG